UACGAAGGGUGCAAGCGUUAUUCGGAAUUAUUGGGCGUAAAGCGCGCGCAGGCGGAUUGAUAAGUCAGGUGUGAAAUCUCGAGGCUCAACCUCAGAACUGCCUUUUGAUACUGGAAGUCUUGAGACCGGAAGAGGUAAGUGGAACUGCGAGUGUAGAGGUGAAAUUCGUAGAUAUUCGCAAGAACACCAGUGGCGAAGGCGGCUUACUGGUCCGGUUCUGACGCUGAGGCACGAAAGCGUGGGGAGCAAACAGG
rnacentral:rRNA from 1 species